CGCCGGUCACUCCCUGUUUGGUUUUCUCCGCCGCGGCCACCACGCCGUCCUUGGCUCUCGAGAUGCCCUUAAGGAACGCGUCCAUGGCCACUUGAUGAGCACCCGAAUUACACUCUGCGCUCCGCUCCUACCUGCUGUCGGUCCACGCACCUGCUCCUCUUCAAAGUCGACGAGAAAGAGAUGUUCGUCAGCCCGAGAAACACGGAAGACCAGAACGGCGGAGAAAGAGCGUUUAUAGAUCUUACUACCACUAACAGCCACUACAACUGUACUGGCUCCACGGAGAGCGGCGCUACAGGUUGGUCGAGGAGGAGCCGCCCACGCGCGCUUAGUAGAAUGAGCGAGCGAGCGGAGCGGAG